GUAAUACUUGUUUUCGCAAUUUUCCCUCUACUAACUGAUUAUUUUUAUAUGGAAGAUAAUUACUGAACAAAUUGCAAGGGUCUGUGCUGAAAGAUGGUUAUGAAAGUAACAUGGGUUUGAUGGAAAACAUGUCGAAAUUGGAGAUGCAGAGAUAAUGGCUUCAGCGAUUGUCGUAUCCCAAUGACUGUCGCUUUCUAAUAACUUCAAUUCUUCACAUGCAGCACGAUAUGUUGGGAAUAUCACACCAUUAACAGUUCGUAGUGACUCAAAUGACGUUGGCCACGCACAUUUACCAGCAACAACCGCAAAUAGAAACAUUCAUUACUCUUUAGAUGAACUGUAUACAUACGACCAAGAGCAUCAGUAGAACGCACAUCUGGAUACCCAGGAACCGUAUCGCCUUGCUUCCGUCUUAGGAUAAAAAUCCUAUGUCCUUCUCCUGGCUCUAAACUACCUCCCUUCCAAUUUUCAGCUCAAUCGGUUAAGCCGUUCUUGAGUUAUAAGUGAAGUAACUAAUACGACUUUCUUUUAUAUAUGUAUAUAGAUUAUAAACUGAAUCGUGCCCGCUUUGAAGUCCGCAACUUCACAAAUCCUCAUAAACGCACAUAAAUUUUGAGGAAUGUUUUUCUUAAACCCAUAGCAUUCAUUUGAAAUUGACUUUUCGAAUCAUACUUCUCGGUAUUCGAGAAAUUAAAUUUAUACGGUCCAAGCUUAGAAAGAUUAUUGAAGUUGUUGAAUUGAGUUUUUAUAACAAAACAAUAUCUUUUAUGUUUGUUCAUUAGAUAUCGUUUAUUUUUUCGUAGAUUUUUGGUAUAGUCACAGGUAAGCGAAAAAAACAAUAAAUGUUUUUUACACAUAACAACUUGUUUUUUCUGGAGUAGCUAAUCAUUACUUUAUUUAUAAAUUGUAGAAUAUGAAUGAUCAAGAAAUUUUCUUAGUGGCUCAUAGUUUUCCGUGCCAUAUCGAUUUCUUAGGUUAAAGCUAUCGGGUUGAGUACUUGCAAUUAUAUUCUUACAUAUCAGAUAUUAACUCAUAUAAAUGACAGGUGCUAAAGAAAGUUCCACUUAUAAAACAAAUCAUUUUUUCUAUAGUUGCAAUUAUAUAAAAAUUUUCGCUUGCUACUUCCUUUUUAGGUUUUAUUAGUACAUGGUUUAUUGCAAACAUAUUUGUAGCAAUUUUGAAUAUGUCUUAAGCGUAAUCUAAAGGAAUUAUUUUCAAAUUUUAUUAAUUAAUUUAAGUUUCUAUUUUAGGGUUUUUGAUAUAAGGAUUAUCCAAAAUUGGAUUCCUCCGGAAAAAUGUUCUCUGUUUAUGCUGCAGUAUUGAUCUAUGAUUAAACUGUCUUUUCUAAUGGUUUACGAAUGGUCACGGAACGGAAGCUAACUUUUUCAAGAAGAUGACAGAUAUGUGACAUCUAUAGGAUGUAGUCCGCACAAGGGAUGGAUCCGAAAUAUAAUAACAUCAUCAUAUUAGUAAUCAACCAAAUUUAUCUAGUUAUAUCGGAUCGCUUCGAUGACAGCUAUAGAUUUUUUCAGCACAAUCAGUGUUCACAUAUAAUAAUAUGAUUUAAUAGAAGAGUUAUAUCUUAAUAAAUUGCAUUGUUCUAUUCUGCUAGUAUGGCAGAUAUAUAAGAACUGUAGGAUAUAAUCACACGAAUUAAAAAAUUAUUGUGAAGUGUUUUGCGUUUUAAGACCAAUUAUUUUAAGAGAGAAAAAUGCUUUGCGAAACAAAGUUUGAAUGUAAAAUAUAAUAUUUGUAUUUUCUUGCAAAAUAAAAUUAAUCUUAAAAGUA